CCAUUUUUAGGCAUCUGUUACAGAGAUAAAAGUCUUGCACCACUUCAGUUCUUGUGCAGACGCUAUAGAAAGGAAAUGUUUAGACUCUAGGCUAAAUAACACUGGACUUACAGAUUAUGAAUGAAAAUAUUAUAAGAGAAAACAACAGCUGUGUCUUUUCCAUGAAGUCCAGAGGGAAUUGAUAAGAAUGUGUGCAUAAGCACGGACACAUGAAUGUGUAUGGUGUUGGUGUGGGCCCAGGCUGCAAGAAUUCUCAUAGCUGGAAGAAAUAUCCUCAGCUCACAAUGACCUGAGUUUCUGCAUAUGUCUCUGGGGGCCAGAUGCAGCACAAUCUAGGAACUGAGCGUAUGAGGUCAGAGGAGAGGAAUGAGGUGCUCUGCAGGGCCGCAGGGCUGAGCCGAGUGCAAGGUACGGAAUGGCUGAAUGUGCACUUGCUGCCAUGGUGACGCGGGGAGCAGACUCGGCGGUCGGGCCGCAGCCGGACAGACGGCCUCGCUGAGGUUCAGCUGCCUUUGAGACAAAAGGUCUGCAGUGUGCCUUACUCCAGCAAGAGAGCAGACAUUCUGGACAAAC
rnacentral:lncRNA from 1 species